AAACAUAGCCUACUAUUUAACUUAGGUACAACCCUGCCCUCUGACUUUUAACAGCCGCGGUAUCCUAACCGUGCUAAGGUAGCAUAAUCACUUGCCUAUUAAUUAUAGGCUAGAAUGAACGGGAUCACUCACUUAAACUUAUUUUUAUUUAAAUUUAAAUUAAACUUUAAGUCAAAAUACUAAAUUAAAAAGAAAGACAAAAAGACCCUGAAAACUAUUAGAAAUAAUUAGUUGGGGCAACUAUAGACCACUCUAGCGUCUAUUUUUUUUAAACUCUUAAAAUCUAAAGUAUCCAGUUACUUCAGGGAUAACAGACUAAUUUUAUUAUUUAGACCCAAUAAAUAAUAAAGAUUGGCACCUCGAUGUUGGCUUAUAUUUCCUUCAUAUAGCAACAUAUAUAGAAGGCAGCUUGUUCAUCUGUUAAAUAUUUACAUGAGCUGAGUUCAG
rnacentral:rRNA from 1 species